rnacentral:rRNA from 1 species
UCCGUAGGGGUGACCUGCGGAGGGAUCAUUAUUAGAAGCCGAAAGGCUACUUAAAACCAUCGCGAACUCGUCCAAGUUGCUUCGGCGGCGCGGCCUCCCUCACGGGGGCGCCGCAGCCCCGCCUCUCCGGAGGUGUGGGGCGCCCGCCGGAGGUACGAAACUCUGUAUUAUAGUGGCAUCUCUGAGUAAAAAACAAAUAAGUUAAAACUUUCAACAACGGAUCUCUUGGUUCUGGCAUCGAUGAAGAACGCAGCGAAAUGCGAUAAGUAAUGUGAAUUGCAGAAUUCAGUGAAUCAUCGAAUCUUUGAACGCACAUUGCGCCCGCUAGUACUCUAGCGGGCAUGCCUGUUCGAGCGUCAUUUCAACCCUCAAGCCCUGCUUGGUGUUGGGGCCCUACGGCUGCCGUAGGCCCUGAAAGGAAGUGGCGGGCUCGCUACAACUCCGAGCGUAGUAAUUCAUUAUCUCGCUAGGGACGUUGCGGCGCGCUCCUGCCGUUAAAGACCAUCUUUAACUCAAGGUUGACCUCGGAUCAGGUAGGAAUACCCGCUGAACUUAAGCAUAUCAAAAGGCGGGAGGA